GACCCCGAAACACACUCUGGCUAAGUCCUGAUGUGCAAGAUGAGCAGAGUGUUGAUAAUCCUGCUGCUCUCUGCAGGGCCUCUGCUGGCUUCUGCUCUAACUUGGAAAAAUUAUGACACCAUGGAUCAUCUCCGACAAUACGCUGACAAAGCCGUAACUGAAGCAAAUAAGGAGUUUAGACAUCUCGGAAAGCACAUUAACUUUCACUCAUUUGAAAAGACAGUGAUCAGUAAGAACUACUAUGUCAGGGCAGACUUGAGACUCACCACAUGUGAUGCAGCAGAAAGUGAGACUGGAUACAAACAGCGCAGAGAGUGUGUUUUCAGUGAUGGUCUGAGGCCGAGGAUAAAUUGUGUUCUGUGUCGAAAAGAGGAUGGACAAGAAUUUGUUGACUGUGUAAAGAAGAAAGAUGCAAAGAAGAGAGAUUUUCUUCGUAAUAAGAUAUGUUCUUUUUCCUUACAUGGAGAACAUCACUCAUUUGCCUCUGGGGAUAAAUAAUAAACAUAUGUGACCACAUAUGUUGGAUGUGUUCCAGUGUUGAUUUCACUCAGAAAUGCAAAGAUCAAUGCUAAUAAAAAGAUGGUAAAAUGAUUCUGACAUCUUAUUUAACAAAUAAAUGAAUUAAUAAUUGUACAAAUAAAAAAUUAAAAAGUGAUGUCAUCUUUUUGUGUUUGGGUUUAAGCACUGUAAUUAAAGAAAAAGAAUCACACCAUUAUUCAACCCCUGUAAAGUUCUUUAAAGCUCUAUUAAUUUCUAUAAGCCUGUAAAAAAGGUGAUUGAACAAUCUACUCAUCAUACUUGUA